rnacentral:rRNA from 1 species
CAGCCGCCGCGGUAAUACGGAGGGUGCAAGCGUUAAUCGGAAUUACUGGGCGUAAAGCGCACGCAGGCGGUCUGUCAAGUCGGAUGUGAAAUCCCCGGGCUCAACCUGGGAACUGCAUUCGAAACUGGCAGGCUAGAGUCUUGUAGAGGGGGGUAGAAUUCCAGGUGUAGCGGUGAAAUGCGUAGAGAUCUGGAGGAAUACCGGUGGCGAAGGCGGCCCCCUGGACAAAGACUGACGCUCAGGUGCGAAAGCGUGGGGAGCAAACAGGAUUAGAGACCCCUGUAGUCCCUGUCUCUUAUAC